CAGAAAGACACCUGGGAAUUCCUACUUUCUUUUUUAUUGUAGAUGGAGAGGAUUCAUACAUUUACGUGUACAUGUUAACCAUAGAAAUUCUGUAACUGACCCUUGGAUAUGGCGCUGUGAGAUGAAAAUGAAUCUAGAUAGGGAACAACAGCACCUUGCUCAACAUAUCCGGAAUGGAGAGUGUUUACAGGUGUGGAGUUUGCUAUGGUUGACAUCCUGUAGGGCUUAACUCUGAUAGUAAAUACCUGGAUGAGUAAACAACAUGGACCAAA